CUCAGCCCUCACGGAACCCUAAAAGCUGGCUAAGGGGGCAUUCUCCUCGCCACCUGGGCCUGCCUCUGCCAAAUCGCUUCCUAAGGACUUUGACUAGAAACCAAAGGUCCCAUUUUUCAUCUGCCAUUUAUUUAUCAUUGUAUAACUUAGUGAAAGCAUACUGACUUUCCUGACUUCUUAUGACCACUUUUGAGGAAAGGAGUAGACACUGGAAUCACCAACACAGCACGCUUACGGAGGGUGGUCGCCAGCUUCAUCAGCCUCCCAGUUCCACGGAGCCCCUUGAAAAUCCAGGAGCGCAGACUGGCAACAGUAGAGAUUUAAUAGGAGUUUACUGGAGGUUAUACUCCAGUCAAAGAAGAUGGAAACCAAAAAGGACACAUUUUGGUUAGCACUGGCUCCAGGAACCCAAUGAACAGAAGACCCAGUGAACAGAACAAUGUGCAGAAGGCUUGUGCAUUCAGCCCAGAGAAAAUCCACUUAAAUUCAGAACAAUUAAGGACUCUGGGGAAGAAGGACUUCACACGGUAGUGUGAUUGGAAGGCAGAUAAAUUUUAGGACACAAUGAAAGUUCCUGAGAUUUUUUAUCCUUUUCCAAUAGGAAGGAUAAAAAAAAAUCUAAAACUAGAGGAAAAAUCAUCUAAAACAAGGGAUAAAGGAAUGGCUCACAUGUGAUCCUUAUCUUACUGUGACAUGGAGCAUUUGAGGAAAGAUGAGGGAAGGGAGCCUGCUUAACUAUGAAGUGAGUAGCAUUGCCCCGGGAGCACCAUGGCAGAUGCACAGGACAUGGAGGGAAGGAAAUGGCAUCCUGGCACGGUCCUGGGUCU